UACGGAGGGUGCAAGCGUUACUCGGAAUUAUUGGGCGUAAAGGGCGCGUAGGCGGCCUGUUAAGUCUAGUGUGAAAUCCCCGGACUCAAUUCGGGAACUGCACUAGAUACUGGCGGGCUAGAGUUCAGGAGGGGAGAGCGGAAUUCCUGGUGUAGAGGUGAAAUUCGCAGAUAUCAGGAGGAACAACAGUGGCGAAGGCGGCUCUCUGGACUGAUACUGACGCUGAGGCGCGAAAGCGUGGGGAGCAAACAGG
rnacentral:rRNA from 1 species